rnacentral:rRNA from 1 species
AUUGAACGCUGGCGGCAGGCCUAACACAUGCAAGUCGAGCGGAUGAUGGGAGCUUGCUCCUGGAUUCAGCGGCGGACGGGUGAGUAAUGCCUAGGAAUCUGCCUGGUAGUGGGGGACAACGUUUCGAAAGGAACGCUAAUACCGCAUACGUCCUACGGGAGAAAGCAGGGGACCUUCGGGCCUUGCGCUAGCAGAUGAGCCUAGGUCGGAUUAGCUUGUUGGUGAGGUAAUGGCUCACCAAGGCGACGAUCCGUAACUGGACUGAGCGGAUGAUCAGGCACACUUGAACUGAGACACGGUCCAGACUCCUACGGGAGGCAGCAGUGGGGAAUAUUGGACAAUGGGGGAAAGCCUGAUCCAGCCAGGCCGCGUGUGUGAAGAAGGUCUUCGGAUUGUAAAGCUCUUUUAGUUGGGAGGAACGGUUGUAGAUUAAUACUCUGCAAUUUUGACGUUACCGAAAGAAUAAGCACCGGCUAACUCUGUGCCAGCCGCCGCCGUAAUAC